rnacentral:rRNA from 1 species
GAGACAGCAGUAGCCACGGGAAUACGGAAGGUCCAGGCGUUAUCCGGAUUUAUUGGGUUUAAAGGGAGUGUAGGCGGUCUGUUAAGCGUGUUGUGAAAUUUAGGUGCUCAACAUCUAACUUGCAGCGCGAACUGGCGGACUUGAGUGCACGCAACGUAUGCGGAAUUCAUGGUGUAGCGGUGAAAUGCUUAGAUAUCAUGACGAACUCCGAUUGCGAAGGCAGCGUACGGGAGUGUUACUGACGCUUAAGCUCGAAGGUGCGGGUAUCGAACAGGAUUAGAUACCCCUGUAGUCCCUGUCUCUUAUAC